rnacentral:rRNA from 1 species
AAUGAACGCUGGCGGCAUGCCUAACACAUGCAAGUCGAACGAGUGGCGGACGGGUGAGUAAUGUCUGGGAAACUGCCUGACGGAGGGGGAUAACUACGGGAAACGGUAGCUAAUACCGCAUACCAUCGGAUGUGCCCAGAUGGGAUUAGCUAGUAGGUGGGGUAUAGGCUCACCAAGGCGACGAUCCAUAGCUGGUCUGAGAGGGUGACCGGCCACACUGGAACUGAGACACGGUCCAGACUCCUACGGGAGGAAGCAGUGGGGAAGCUUUCGCAAUGGGCGAAAGCCUGAUGGAGCAAUGCCGCGUGAAUGAAGAAGGCCUGCGGAUUGUAAAAUUCUGUUAGCAGGGAAGCGUUACCUGACGAGGAAGCAACGGCUAACUACGUGCCAGCAGCCGCGGUAAUUC